UUUCUAUUCCUUCUUAACUGAUCCUCUGCUUUGGCAAUACCAUCUUUUGGUCCCUCAGUUUCCACAUUCAGAAUCCCAUUCAGAAUGAACCAAGAGAGAAAUCUAAUCAGCCUUUUUCACAUCAACAGUCGAUGGCCUCAGGUGCUUUUAAGAAGAACCCCAUGCCAAGUGGAGGACGGUGUGAGAAAUGCAGAAUGUGAUGGGGUAACUUGGCUGUGAUGUGCCUGCUCCCAUUUGCCUUCCACCAUGACUGGAAGCUCCCUGAGGCCUCCUCCAAAGCAGAAGCUGCCAUGCUUCCUGUACAGCCUGCAGAACCGUGAGCCAAUUCAACCUCUUUUCUUUAUACAUUACUCAGUCUCAAGUAUUUCUUUAUAGCAGUGUGCAAAUGGACUAAAACAGCAUCUCAGAGAUCCCAGCCAAUCCCAGGAGCUCCAGUGCCCCAUCUCUCCAGGUGUCCCAGGCUGUAGGGACCAGCCUGAAGCCUUCCCUGACCCAGGCCUAGGCCCUACAAGAGGCCUGUGACAAGAGACCUCCUUAGCCUCUUCAGCUUCCAUUGGAAUCAACUUAGCUGCCAGGAGGCUGGAACUUUCCCCCACUCUGUUAGUUACUUGAAGGAAAGCCACCAACAUAGACAAUGGCUGCACAACACUGGAAUGGAGAAGGGUCAGCAAAACCCAAGAAAGCCUUCAAGACCCCUGCACUGCAGGACAGACACACCCAUCCUGCCACUGCCUUGAUGGCGGUGACUGCUCCAACACUGCUUACAGAUUCAGACAAAUCCGAGAGACAGCUGUCCCUGAUAUGUUCAAGACUCUGCCAGCUCAACAGGCUGUGGGAAAACCAAAGAAAUAAU
rnacentral:lncRNA from 1 species